AAGAUUAGAAGAAAAUAAACUCAUCAAGAUUCAAUCAGCGGGAGUCAUCUGCCUAGACUACUCAUCAAAGUCUGAGAGAGCUGCCUUUCAGCAGAAGAUUUUUAUAUUUAUAUAGCCUUCCAGAUAGCAACUUCAGAGCACCAAAAAUCUUAACUGUUGCAAGUUACAACUACGGGUAAAGUUUAAUGUUACAAAAUGGAAUAAAUUUUACUCUGCUGGUUGCAUUAUGGGACCUCCUGCUGUCAUCUAGUGAAAAAGGAGUCAAUGAACUCAUGUUGGAUAUUUCUGCACAAGAGCUAACUUUGACCUGCAACAUAUUUCACUUUAGCCAUAUUGCAGAUUUAAUCUAUUACGCCACAUAUUUUUUUCCAACAAUUUUUUAUAGCUUUUAUAUAGAAAAUCAUGAUUACUGUUCACUUAAUAGUUCUUAUAGUAUGCUAUUGUAUAUUAUUAAUUUACUUCAGAGUAAUAUAUUUGACAUGUUUGCAGCUUUUUAGUAAUAAUGCCAUUUCAAAUAUUUUUGCUGUGAAACUUAAAGCAUAGAAGCAGACAGGCAUAAGGUCAUUAGGUUUUUAUGGUUACUACUGUCAAUUUUAUACAAUGAACCAAGUGAUGAAAUCCUGUUUUUACCUUUGAAAAGAUAUUAUUGCUCAAGGGGAAUUUAUUUGAAUAGGUAUAUUGCAAUUUUUAAAUAUUUAAAAAAAAUGCCUGUCACUGUUUCUUUCAGCUUUAUCUCUUCACAAAGUGUUACAAACCUAAACAGACAUUUAUUUUGUGUCUUCCAUUCUAUGUAAUAUCAUAUUGACAUUUUCUUACACAAAGAUGGUAGCAAUGAUGUUGCCAGAAGUAUCUACAUUAACAACCAGGUCCGCAUAUUCCCCUGAGGAAUUUUUAUCAGUUUCCUAUGUACUUCUAGUUCAUCUCUAAGCUUUUCCUUAUGUAUGGUAAAUUGUGGCAGGGUGAAUGUUUUGUCACUUCAUUGUAUUGUAGUGUUAAAUGAUUGAUGGGAAUCUUUAAAAUUCAUUAACUUCAUAAGAACUGUAGGUUUCCCAUAAACCACCAAACUAAUUGUACAUUUCCAUAUUUCCACAUGAACAUGUAUUUACAUUAUUAAAGCAUUUUGCAUAA